GGGAAUUGUUCUCUCUUCUAAAAUAAUGGAUUAAGAAACUGCUUGGGAAUUUUGCAUACCUGGAUGGAACAUACCUGCUAUCUGGGUUGACAUUAGGUUGCCUGGACAGGGAACCAGCUUUUCCAAGGCAGGGAGAGAUGGUAAGGAUAAGCUGCAAUGGUAAGGUUGUGCUGCAGUGAUAAACAUCUUUCCAACUGGCAGUGGCUUAAAAUAUUUCUCACAAGCUAUUUUUCCAUCAGGAGCUCUGUUCCUCAGACCACUCAGGACCCAGGCAGACAGUGGCACCAUCUGGGGGUGGGUCUGUUGUUUCAGGGGCAGAAAAAAAGAAUCUGGUGAGCCACAGGCUGUCUUUGAAUGCUUCUGUCAAGAAGUUCACAUUUCCUUGAUGCCAGAGAAGUCCCACGGCCAUGUCUCAAUCCAGUAAGAAUGUGUACUCUGAAGAGAGGUACCAUAUUUGGGUAAGCAGUAAUGCUGUCUGAACACAGAGGGAUCCUUGAAGAGAAACACUUGGAUUUAUGGCCUGGCCAGGGGUAGGUGGAUACACACUUGGCUGGCACUCUGCUGGAUGCCAGGGGAAGGGGCAGGAAAUGAUUAAGUAUUUUAUUUAUCUAUCUAUCACAGGAACGAAUGGCUGGGAACUGCCAUUCGGCAGGCAAGGAACUCCUUCCUGUGACACGCUUGGCACGGUAGGAAAACAUCAUUCCUGGCUUGCGGAGGGGAGGGGUGAAACCUUAAAACAUUUUUAAAAAUCAAAUUUUUCCUUUCUGAGCGUGAGUUAGGAAGCAAUGCUCCUUCUCACUACCCUUCCAGAAAAAUCACAGCUUCUGCAGUGAGUAUAUGUCUGUGUGACAACUAACACAAAAAUGCAAAAAGAUGCCCCUUCCCCUUCCACUCAGUGAACUGUGUGUACCAGGGCCAGCCUGUUCCCCAAGAAUAUAGAAACAAUACCUUUCAUCCAACAACUGGUUUUUGUUUUUGAGAAGAAUACAGGCUCUUUCUGGUAACGCACUUCUCUCUAGGGAGAAGGCUUGAAGUAAAAAGAACAUACAGUGAGUGUCCACAUUCAGAGGGAUCUGAGUUCAGUCCUUCCUUUACUAUAAGGACAGGGCCCAAGUCCUCCUCCCUUCCUCCAGGGCCCAUGUCUUGAUGGAAGCCUCCAUCCAGCCGGCGGGCAGGUGAAGCUCCUGUCCAGCGCCAUCCAAGCAGUAAUGCUGCCUUGGGUUCUGAUCUUGUAUGCGGUGCUUCCCAGUUCCUCGGCUCCAUGGGACCUGCUGGCCGGCAGCUGCUCUGCCCCCAGACAGGAACACAGCAAGCUCUGGCUUCAGCCCUGCUCAGCACACUGCAUUUCUCCCGGUUGCUGAUCCACAGUAUUCACCUCGUUUUGGGGGUUGGACAGUACGUUUUCUGGUUCUCCCUUUUCUGUAUCACUGCUGUGUUUCAGGGUCCACGUGGGUGUCACCUAACUGGAACACUGGCUCUGCACCAGGCCUCUUCUCCCUCCUUGUUUCCCUCCGAACACCCACAUGUCUCCUCCUCGCCACCCCCGCUGCCUUGUCCCUGGCCUUUCUGGACCCUUGCUGCCUUUCUCACCCGACUCUUCUCAGAGCCACUCCCGCACCCAUGACUCGUGUGCACCCCUCAUAACCUGCGGUCACUGUCUGCCUGCUUCACUCCCAGGACUCUCUCCCACGUCUGAUCCCAUUUGGACCUUGUCGCUCGGUCUCGACUCUGACCCACGCAUGCACAGCUCUGCCAUACACUCACCCAUAGGUAAUAGUAAUACUUCACAGAAGAUCAGGCAGGCAAAUCAUUUUAAGACCUACAAAAACAUGAGUAAUUUAUAAUACUGAGAUGAGCAAAGAUUUUCUGCCCAUGACACCAAAUCCAGAUUUCUUAAAAAUGAAUGUUAAGACUACUGAAGUUAAACUUUUGUGUAGUAUUAAGAAAAAAUGAUUUUGUAAAGACAAACUAGGAAAACAUCUACCACUCAAGACAGUCUAACUUCCCUAAAGUAGAAAGGUGGCUAUAACUCACAGAGGUCAAACAAGCCGUUGACAAAAUGGUGAGAUGGGAAUGGGCAGCACCCCCCAGAAGAGGUGCUGGUAUAAAUACCAAUAAACCCGAAUAUUGCUACAAUUAAAAAAAAAAAGCAAUUAUGUAAUCUAUUUUUGCUGCUCGGAGUUGCAGUUUUAAAAAUUCAUAUGGAGGGGGGUUGGCAAGCAGGUAGGUAUUUUUGCUAUCACUGAAAUGACAUGUUGGUAAAAACUUUUCAGCAGGCUACAUUAGCAAUGUGUUAAAAUGUUAAGCAUCUCCACUCUGACCCAACAACUCUACUUCCAGAAACGCAUCCUGAGUGGGUCUCAGCGGGGCAGAGAGGAGAGGGGCCAGCAUUAGCCAUGGGCAACAACCCGGUGUUUCUCACUAGGAGCCAGGACGCAAAUGCUCGGGCAGCUACACCCUGGAACGGUGCUGAUGGAGAGGGAGGCACAGCCGUGUCACGUGUCCAAGACACACAGGUAACGCCCGCUGCUUCCUGAAGUGAGUGUGCCUGUGUAUACUCCCCACUGGAGCGCGUGAGCUUCCUAGUUCUACAUCUUGGCCAACACUUGGUAUGUCAUACUCCCUCAUUUCUACCAUCUGAGAGGCAUAUAGUGGUUUCAACUGACGUUUCCCUGAUGACUAAUGAAGCUAUAUUUCUUUACCCAUUGACCAGCCAUCUGAAUUCCUUCUUCAGUGAGGGGUCUGUUCACUCCUCUUUUGUCCAUUUUCCUAUUAGAAUGAUUACUUUUUUCUAUUUGAUUUGUAGUUUUAUAUUCUGAUAACUUCCCCAUUACCAAUUUUCUACCUGUCCUCCUAUUUUAACUACAUUCUCUAAAUUUUGCAGAAAAAAGAAUUGGUGGAAGGAUUUCUGACUUGGUAAGAACUGUACAUGCUCGUAGAUUACUCUUACUAAAGCUGUUUUACCUCUGAAGAAAGGGAUCUGAUCCAACCUACCAUCCUCCCUGCUUACUCUCUCUCGUAGGCAGCUUUCAGAACUCUGGAUGCUGAAUUCAAACCCUGCCUCCUCAGCGAAACACUCCACACCUUAAGAGCCCCAUGACUCAGGCAGGGAUUUUUUUUUUUUUUAACAACUUAAAAUCUUAUUUUAAGAGUGGAGAGAAUUAUUAAGAAAUGGGCAAGUAUUUAAAUAAAUUUGCUGAAAUCCAUGCUGGGCUCCAAGGUCAGACUGAACCAGAAAGUUGAAUAUCAUCACCUCAUCUUCAAAAUUCAAACACCCCACCUGCUGCCUGAGCUCACAGCCUGGGUCUUGCCCCUUUA